AGAACGAACGCUGGCGGCAGGCUUAACACAUGCAAGUCGAGCGCCCAGCAAUGGGAGCGGCGGACGGGUGCGUAACACGUGGGAACAUGCCUUUCGGUACGGAACAACUGCGGGAAACUGCAGCUAAUGCCGUAUACGCCCUUACGGGGAAAGAUUUAUCGCCGAAAGAUUGGCCCGCGUCUGAUUAGCUAGUUGGUGAGGUAACGGCUCACCAAGGCUUCGAUCAGUAGCUGGUUUGAGAGAACGACCAGCCACACUGGGACUGAGACACGGCCCAGACUCCUACGGGAGGCAGCAGUGGGGAAUCUUGGACAAUGGAGGAAACUCUGAUCCAGCCAUGCCGCGUGAGUGAUGAAGGCCUUCGGGUUGUAAAACUCUUUUACCCGGGAAGAUAAUGACUGUACCGGGAGAAUAAGCUCCGGCUAACUUCGCGCCAGCAGCCGC
rnacentral:rRNA from 1 species